rnacentral:rRNA from 1 species
AUAAUGGGUCAGCGACUUAUAUUCUGUAGCAAGGUUAACCGAAUAGGGGAGCCGAAGGGAAACCGAGUCUUAACUGGGCGUUAAGUUGCAGGGUAUAGACCCGAAACCCGGUGAUCUAGCCAUGGGCAGGUUGAAGGUUGGGUAACACUAACUGGAGGACCGAACCGACUAAUGUUGAAAAAUUAGCGGAUGACUUGUGGCUGGGGGUGAAAGGCCAAUCAAACCGGGAGAUAGCUGGUUCUCCCCGAAAGCUAUUUAGGUAGCGCCUCGUGAAUUCAUCUCCGGGGGUAGAGCACUGUUUCGGCAAGGGGGUCAUCCCGACUUACCAACCCGAUGCAAACUGCGAAUACCGGAGAAUGUUAUCACGGGAGACACACGGCGGGUGCUAACGUCCGUCGUGAAGAGGGAAACAACCCAGACCGCCAGCUAAGGUCCCAAAGUCAUGGUUAAGUGGGAAACGAUGUGGGAAGGCCCAGACAGCCAGGAUGUUGGCUUAGAAGCAGCCAUCAUUUAAAGAAAGCGUAAUAGCUCACUGGUCGAGUCGGCCUGCGCGGAAGAUGUAACGGGGCUAAACCAUGCACCGAAGCUGCGGCAGCGACGCUGAUGCGUUGUUGGGUAGGGGAGCGUUCUGUAAGCCUGCGAAGGUGUGCUGUGAGGCAUGCUGGAGGUAUCAGAAGUGCGAAUGCUGACAUAAGUAACGAUAAAGCGGGUGAAAAGCCCGCUCGCCGGAAGACCAAGGGUUCCUGUCCAACGUUAAUCGGGGCAGGGUGAGUCGACCCCUAAGGCGAGGCCGAAAGGCGUAGUCGAUGGGAAACAGGUUAAUAUUCCUGUACUUGGUGUUACUGCGAAGGGGGGACGGAGAAGGCUAUGUUGGCCGGGCGACGGUUGUCCCGGUU